ACGGAGGCAUGUACAUAAAAGAAAAGAUGGAAAUCACUUGGAAAGGGAAGUUUGAUCAAGUUUAUAUAUCUAAUAGAAAGAGGGUUGAACCCAAAAGAAAUUUGGGGUUAUAAAGUUUGUGAACCCAAAAGAUUACAAGAAACCAAACUUGUUGGAGCGAGAAGUCAAGAUUUUUCUCUUAACGAUGUCAGCAAAGGUGCACCCUGGAUACAGGUUCUUGGCUAUUAUCAAUCGAAAAACCGGCCUCGAGAAUCACGUUCUAGAGCGUUGAAGCUCGAUUUAGAAUCCGUUAGAUGGCAUGUCGUCGUGUCGAUCUGUUUGCUUAAACAGGUUACACAUGUCAACCCAAACACGGCCCGUUUAUUAAACGAGUUAGAUAUGAGAACCCAAACCUAAUUAUUUCCGUCUCAUGUGUCGGGUCAUGUUAGAAAUUCUCACCCCUACUGAAUUCAUUGUAGCCGGAAGCAACUAAAAGGCACGGAAAAUAUAUUGGCAAGUGCAUGAAGCUGCUGCAAACAAUCUUGACUGUUGAUGAUCUCAACUACCCGGAGAAGACCAUCACAUACUAUACAGUUAACGUUCCAUACGUAUUUUCUGCUUGUUGGAAGGUUGUGAAACCACUGUUGCAGGAGCGAACAAGCCGCAGUGUUUUUCUAACGAGGAGUUCGUGAUUCGCAGCUGAUCCGAUUAUCCGGUUACACAAAAGAGGUUACAUUUAUUCAGUGCUUUUCCGCCUUCGCUCUUUUGGUUAUGCUAUCAAUCCACAUAUGUUCGAAUGCGGUGAAGUUCGCUUAAACCUUAGCCACCAAUGGACCUUACCGAGUGGACAAAUCUGGGUGCCUCUUGUAACGACUGUAAACCAUAACCUAAAUCGACCAAUUCAUAAGGAUUUACACUAUUCCAGUUAGAUUAAUAAAUGAUUUUUACUUGGGUUCAGGAGUUUGAGGACACUUUAAACUACAUAGCAGGCUUAUGAAGUGAAGCAGAAUCAUAUGGCAUAUGUCGGAUCAUUCCACCUUCAUCAUAGAGAAUGGGUCGGUUUGGGUUGACUUGC